UACGUAGGGUGCAAGCGUUAAUCGGAAUUACUGGGCGUAAAGCGUGCGCAGGCGGUUUUGUAAGUCUGACGUGAAAUCCCCGGGCUCAACCUGGGAAUUGCGUUGGAGACUGCAAGGCUGGAGUCUGGCAGAGGGGGGUAGAAUUCCACGUGUAGCAGUGAAAUGCGUAGAUAUGUGGAGGAACACCGAUGGCGAAGGCAGCCCCCUGGGUCAAGACUGACGCUCAUGCACGAAAGCGUGGGGAGCAAACAGG
rnacentral:rRNA from 1 species